rnacentral:rRNA from 1 species
AGGUAAGCUACUAAGAGCGAAUGGUGGAUGCCUUGACUGGUAAAGGCGAUGAAGGACGUACUAGACUGCGAUAAGCUACGGGGAGCUGUCAAGAAGUUUUGAUCCGUAGAUUUCCGAAUGGGGCAACCCAAUGUAUAGAGAUAUACAUUACCUAUAUAGGAGCGAACGAGGGGAAUUGAAACAUCUUAGUACCCUCAGGAAAAGAAAUCAAUAGAGAUUGCGUCAGUAGCGGCGAGCGAAAGCGCAAGAGGGCAAACCCAGUGCUUGCACUGGGGGUUGUAGGACUGCAAUGUGCAAGAGGUAAGUUUAGCAGAACAUUCUGGAAAGUAUAACCAUAGAGGGUGAUAGUCCCGUAUGCGAAAAACAAACCUUAGCUAGCAGUAUCCUGAGUAGGGCGGGACACGAGGAAUCCUGUCUGAAUCCGGGUCGACCACGAUCCAACCCUAAAUACUAAUACCAGAUCGAUAGUGCACAAGUACCGUGAGGGAAAGGUGAAAAGAACUGAGGUGAUCAGAGUGAAAUAGAACCUGAAACCAUUUGCUUACAAUCAUUCAGAGCCCUAUGUAGCAAUACAGGGUGAUGGACUGCCUUUUGCAUAAUGAGCCUGCGAGUUGUGGUGUCUGGCAAGGUUAAGCAAACGCGAAGCCGUAGCGAAAGCGAGUCUGAAUAGGGCGCUUAGUCAGAUGCUGCAGACCCGAAACGAAGUGAUCUAUCCAUGAGCAAGUUGAAGCUAGUGUAAGAACUAGUGGAGGACUGAACCCAUAGGCGUUGAAAAGCCCCGGGAUGACUUGUGGAUAGGGGUGAAAGGCCAAUCAAACUUCGUGAUAGCUGGUUCUCUCCGAAAUAUAUUUAGGUAUAGCGUUGUGUCGUAAUAUAAGGGGGUAGAGCACUGAAUGGGCUAGGGCAUACACCAAUGUACCAAACCCUAUCAAACUCCGAAUACCUUAUAUGUAAUCACAGCAGUCAGGCGGCGAGUGAUAAAAUCCGUCGUCAAGAGGGAAACAACCCAGACUACCAGCUAAGGUCCCUAAAUCUUACUUAAGUGGAAAACGAUGUGAAGUUACUUAAACAACCAGGAGGUUGGCUUAGAAGCAGCCAUCCUUUAAAGAAAGCGUAAUAGCUCACUGGUCUAGUGAUUUUGCGCGGAAAAUAUAACGGGGCUAAAGUAAGUACCGAAGCUGUAGACUUAGUUUACUAAGUGGUAGGAGAGCGUUCUAUUUGCGCCGAAGGUAUACCGGUAAGGAGUGCUGGAGCGAAUAGAAGUGAGCAUGUAGGCAUGAGUAGCGAUAAUUAAUGUGAGAAUCAUUAACGCCGUAAACCCAAGGUUUCCUACGCGAUGCUCGUCAUCGUAGGGUUAGUCGGGUCCUAAGUCGAGUCCGAAAGGGGUAGACGAUGGCAAAUUGGUUAAUAUUCCAAUACCAACAUUAGUGUGCGAUGGAAGGACGCUUAGGGCUAAGGGGGCUAGCGGAUGGAAGUGCUAGUCUAAGGUCGUAGGAGGUUAUACAGGCAAAUCCGUAUAACAAUACUCCGAGAACUGAAAGGCUUUUUGAAGUCUUCGGAUGGAUAGAAGAACCCCUGAUGCCGUCGAGCCAAGAAAAGUUUCUAAGUUUAGCUAAUGUUGCCCGUACCGUAAACCGACACAGGUGGGUGGGAUGAGUAUUCUAAGGCGCGUGGAAGAACUCUCUUUAAGGAACUCUGCAAAAUAGCACCGUAUCUUCGGUAUAAGGUGUGGUUAGCUUUGUAUUAGGAUUUACUCCGAAAGCAAGGAAACUUACAACAAAGAGUCCCUCCCGACUGUUUACCAAAAACACAGCACUCUGCUAACUCGUAAGAGGAUGUAUAGGGUGUGACGCCUGCCCGGUGCUC